rnacentral:lncRNA from 1 species
GGUAAUCUCUGGAGCGAGGGUGGCUCUUUAGACUCAAACUUUGUCAAGGAGUCUGGCCUUUGUCUUAUGGCAUCCCAGAGUUAUUCAAAGCCCCUAAACAGGGCUUGUAAAUUUAAUUGAGGCAGCACCCUUGGGGGGGAAGGUCUGGAAGGGGACACACCUGGGAGCCACCAGAAAUCAACUUUCUCAACAGCUGUAGUAUUGUAUGCCUGGAUUCUGAAGAAAAGAUCUGGAUGGGACGACAAAGAAUCUACUGCAAAAGGCAAAGCCAGUUCAGCCUAAUAACAAAAUAUCCAGUAGCACUCUCAUUUCAAUUUAUCUUUCCUUGAUACCUGGACAUAAAUUCACCCUAUGUCCACUGCACCUUUGUAAUUAUUUCUUUCUUCUAGGUGUGAAGCCACCAUUUCUUCUUGAAUCUCUCUGGGGAUGAGGAUGCCUACGAUGUUCUGAUGCAGUGUAUUCUAUUAUUGGAAGCCCUGGGCUCAGCCAGAGUUCAGCAGAGAAUGGGUGACCAGCAGCAGAGAGGAGCUUCCCACUCCAGGGAUGACCUGCCUGCAGAGAGGAGCCACCCACCACAUGGCUUCCUGCUCUCUGCUGAGGGCUGAACACUCAUCGUGACACUGUGGCUGCAGGAAGGAGAUACCUACAGUGGGUCUCUGAGCUGGUCUACUGCUCAAUAAAGCUCUUCUUGGUUUUGCUCAUCCUCCACUUGUCUGCGUGCCUCAUUGUUCCUGGUCACAGGACAAGAACUUGGACCGCCGAAUGGCAAGUCUAGAAGACCUGUAAUACAAACUGGUCUGAAACAUGACCCUUGCUCACCACAUGGUGGGUGAAGAGAGGGAGAGAAGAGGUUUAGCCCUUCAAGCCAGGGCUGUGGCUCUCUCUUUAAGGCCCUGUGGUUCCUGGCAACUCUGAGCUUAGGGACACCACUGCAUUUCCUGCUGCCAGCUGAGGAAGCUGCUUGCAGUGCACCUGGUCCAGCCACAGCCUUGCAGAGCUGCCCACCCGACUGUAGCAGCUAGCAUGCCUGACCAUGUGCAGUGACUGGAUCCCAUGCUUACUCGCUCACACACCCCUUACCCCUCCACGCCUGGCUCAUCCUUGGCAGGCGUGGGAUCCAGGCCCACUGCAUGAGCCAAGUGCAGCCUGGCAGGCUGAAUGGAUGGAAUGAGCUGGGCAGGCCCAAGCAAAAGUCAAGCAAAGGUGCCACUGGCCACAGAGGUUUCUGACCAGAAAAGCAACACUUCAAAGAUCCUGUAACAUUUGGAGUGUUUCCACUUUGGGGCAAUAAUAAAUAAAACUUCCAGUAAUCUCCAUUUUAUUUUUUUUGUCUUUGGUGAAUGUGUAGACUCCAUGCUCAUGGAAAUGCAUCUCCAAGUAGAAAUGGUGGGUCGUAAGAGUGGCAUAAUAUCAGCUUUAAUAGAUAUUACCAAUAAUUUUCUAAUAUGUUUUUAUCAAUAUAUCCUCUUGCCAGCAAUGUUUGAGAGUUCCAAUUGCUCUACACACUAACCAACACUUAGUAUUGUUAGUUUAUUUAAGAAAAAAGUUUUAGUCAUUCUGAUAAAUACAUGUUGGUAUCUCAUUAUGAUUUAAAUUUGCAUUUCCCUAGUGAAUAGUACUUUUUCAUAUACCUACUUGUUACUAAAAUAUCUUAUUUUCUGAAAUACUUACUUAGGACCUUCACCUAUUUUUGAAAAUUUGAUAUUUUAAUACUUAAUGUUUUGAAGAAGCUCUUUAUAUGGAAUUAGAAUAAGUACUUUUCAGAUAUUCAUAUUACAAUGUCUUUUCCAGUCUGUGACUUGCCUUUUCAUUCUUU